UUCCUCCCUUUCUCACUCUCUCGGCACUCUCUCUCUCUUCUCCUCCGAAAACUCUCUCCUCUCUUCUCUCUUCGAUUUCAUCUACUUAGGGGGUGAUUCCGGACAAGACCCGAGAAUUAAAAUUGUUAUACGGCGCAUGGGCUUUCCGAAUAUCCAAGAAAAAUCAUGAUCGGACCGCGUGGGAGCUUGGUUGACUUGGUCAAAGGUUCGGGUUUUGCUCAAAACCCAUGAGGUACACUACAUGGACACAGUCUUGGAGGGUGUGAAGUGCAUGCAGACAUCACAGGCUAAAGUUAUUUUCUGAAGAACUUGUCUUUCCCUUGUAAAUCAAACUGUAUUGUAUUAUUUUCUCUAACUUGGAAUACUGUAUCAGUUGACAAAUUGUGAGAUUUAGAAACUGUAUGUCGUAAUUUGGGGUACCGUAUAUACUAUUAUGAGGAUUUGUAAUUAAAAUGGUAUUGUUAUUUAUGUUAAAAA